rnacentral:rRNA from 1 species
CACGUAGGCACCAAGCGUUAUCCGGAAUGAUUGGGCGUAAAGCGUCCGCAGGUGGCUGUGUAAGUCUGCUGUCAAAGAGCAAAGCUCAACUUUGUAAAGGCAGUGGAAACUACACGGCUAGAGUGCGUUCGGGGCAGAGGGAAUUCCUGGUGUAGCGGUGAAAUGCGUAGAGAUCAGGAAGAACACCGGUGGCGAAGGCGCUCUGCUAGGCCGCAACUGACACUGAGGGACGAAAGCUAGGGGAGCGAAUGGG